rnacentral:lncRNA from 12 species
UCUGUGUAAACACACAAAGAGCAGGCUAAAAUGAUUUGCCUGGUAUCCACAAAGCACACUUAUUAUGGUUGUGUUUGGAAACACCUAGAAAAAAAUUCCUCCUCCUCUUUCAUCAUCAAUCAUCAUCAUCAUCAUCAUCAUUAUCGGCAUAAUGCAUGAUGAUUUCUAGUAGGAGAAAUUAAGUAGAAAGGUACAAGAAUCCAUGUUGAGUGUUGAGAGGCUAGCUCUAUGAAACCCAACUUUUCAUAAUACUUCUUUUGAAAAUGAUGUAAAAAGUGCCUUAUACAUGAUGAGAUGAGCACUGAAUGUUAUACUAUAUGUUGGCAAAUUGACUUUAAAUAAAAUAUUUUUUAAAUGACUAUAUACUUAUAUAAAAUAGUGAUUAUCUCUUGUGGUAGCAAUAUGGGAGAUUUUUUUAUGUUCUUUCUUACUCUCUGUGUUUUCUGAUUACCUCCCUGCCCCCUCAAAAUGAACAAACAGAAAAUGAUCAUAUUUUUUAAAAAUUGAGUAGUCUCAAUUUUUACAUGCAUCGAUUUCACAUAAUUUAUGUAACAGUGAUAUUUAUCCUAAUCUAAUAGUCAUGCUUUCAGUCAUGCUCUCUUUUAUUGUGGUAUCUUAUUCCACAAACUCAGAUACCUUAUGAAUGUCUCUCCUUGAGAGGUUAUAUGCAAAGAGUGCAAAGAGAACCUAUGGACAUGUUCAUUCACUUGUUUGUUGGUCACUUGCUGUUACUGUUGCUUUAAAAAAAAAUUAAACUAAAUUCAAUUCAAAGUGGUUAGUCUUCCAGAGACUGGCAGGAGUUCUUCCUUAAACAGACUACUUCUGCCACGAAAAUACUGACACCAAAUAAAUGGAGCGUCCAGUUUUGGUUAGCAUUGCUGUGUAAUCUGUUAACUGUUCCGUCUUGGAUAUUCAAACUUGUAUUUUCAGGGUUGUUUUGGCAUCUGGUACCUUCUAAAUUGCUAGAAAUGGAGCAGAAAGGUGGAAGGUUAUCACGAGGUCAGAAGCUGGAACAAUCAGAAAAUGGAGGAUCACAAGGGGAACAAAUGGUCCAGGAUGAGGACCACAGACAAGCCUAGGAUGGUGGAGCUUUAUUUUAUGUUGUUGAGGUGGGUUUGAUAAAUGUCACUUACCACGAAGCACUGAAAACCUAGUUUGUUCCUAACUCUGCAGAUGGUGUGGCUUCCAGAAUCUCUACUACCUUGAUUUUCUCCUUUGCAUACAUUUUAGUUUGUCAGAACCGUUUUAAAAAACAUGGUGCUCACAAUGAAACACAUUAUUCUAGAGGCAGUCAGACCAGCAUCCCAUUAAUCUCAUGGGUCAUCAUCUCUCUCUGCCUGAACCUAUAUGUUCAGCAAUGUAGCCGAAGAGAUUGUUAAAUUCCCAGGGUUAAAUGACACAUGACUCAGAUUGAGCCUGCUGUCAGCCAAGCCACAAGUGAUUUUAUUUAUUUUUUUCACAGGAACCACACACACAAAAUCUGCUCAGUUUUAUUCUUUUAACUUAUGUAUAUGAGUCUUAUUUUUUUUCUAUUAAAUUUAUCUUUUCAGUUUAGAU